UACGGGGGGGGGCAAGCAUUGUUCGGAAUUACUGGGCGUAAAGGGCUCGUAGGUGGCCAACUAAGUCAGACGUGAAAUCCCUCGGCUUAACCGGGGAACUGCGUCUGAUACUGGAUGGCUUGAGUGGUGGGAGGAGGGAUGCGGAAUUCCAGGUGUAGCGGUGAAAUGCGUAGAUAUCUGGAGGAACACCGGUGGCGAAGGCGGCAUCCUGGACCACGGACUGACGCUGAGUGAGCGAAAGCCAGGGGAGCAAACGGG
rnacentral:rRNA from 1 species